rnacentral:tRNA from 1 species
GGGCGGUUAGCUCAGUGGUUAGAGCGCUGCGUUGACAUCGCAGAGGUCACUGGUUCAAGUCCAGUACCGCCCACCA